rnacentral:rRNA from 1 species
CGUCUAUAUACGUAUAGCAUAUCAAUAAGCGGAGGAAAAGAAACUAACAAGGAUUCCCUUAGUAACGGCGAGUGAAGCGGGAAGAGCUCAAAUUUGAAAUCUUCAAGGUUUUACCUUGACGAAUUGUAGUUUAAAGAAGUGUUUUCUGUUGAAGUUUUGGUAAAAGUUCUUUGGAAUAGGACAUCAUAGAGGGUGAGAAUCCCGUAUUUGACCAUUAUUUUCAGCUGUGUGAUACACUUUCAAAGAGUCGGAUUGUUUGGGAAUGCAGUCCAAAAUGGGUGGUAAAUUUCAUCUAAAGCUAAAUAUUGGCGAGAGACCGAUAGCGAACAAGUACCGUGAGGGAAAGAUGAAAAGAACUUUGAAAAGAGAGUUAAACAGUACGUGAAAUUGUCAAAAGGGAAGCGUUUGACACCAGUGUUGUUUUUUCCGAAAAUCAAUUACGAAUGUUUUGUUUUUUAAGAAGUUAUGACUUCAUCGGCUUGCUUCUUUCUUUACGAAACUUUCUUAAUGCACUUUUCGGUUAACAAGUCAACAUCAAUUUCUUUUGUUGUAAAAGGAGUAUGAGGAAGGUGGCUUUCUUUUCGGAGAAAGUGUUUAUAGCCUUGUACCUUCUGCAAUCGGAGAGAUUGAGGUCUGCAGCGUAGAUCCUUCGGGGUUAGAUACAUUUGUGCUAAGUUAUAGCUUUUCAUAGACAACUUGUUGACUUAUGUUAAGUCUUGUAGCUUACUCGCUUAUGCUAUUUUACCUACGCUUAGGAUGUUGACACACGCGCGUGCUCG